AAAGUCCCCUUCGGGGGAUAAGUAGAGUGGCGUCCGGGUGAGUAACACGUAGGUAAUCUACCUUCGGGUGGGGAAUAACCCAGGGAAACUUGGGCUAAUACCGCAUAAUGCAGCGGCACCACAUGGUGACAGUUGUUAAAGCGGGGGAUCUUCGGAUCUCGCGCCUGAAGAGGAGCCUGCGGCAGAUUAGCUAGUUGGUAAGGUAACGGCUUACCAAGGCAACGAUCUGUAGCCGGCCUGAGAGGGCGGUCGGCCACACUGACACUGACAUACGGGUCAGACUCCUACGGGAGGCAGCAGUCGGGAAUUUUGGGCAAUGGGCGAAAGCCUGACCCAGCAACGCCGCGUGAAGGAUGAAAUCCCUCGGGAUGUAAACUUCGCAAGAAUGGGAAGAAUUAGUAGGGGCUAAUACCCUCUAUGAUGACGGUACCAUUUGUAAGCUCCGGCUAACUCCGUGCCAGCAGCCGCGGUAAUACGGGGGGAGCAAGCGUUGUUCGGAUUUACUGGGCGUAAAGGGCGCGUAGGCGGUCAGCACAAGUCAGUUGUGAAAUCUCCGGGCUUAACUCGGAAAGGUCAACUGAUACUGUGCGACUAGAGUGCGGAAGGGGCAACUGGAAUUCUCGGUGUAGCGGUGAAAUGCGUAGAUAUCGAGAGGAACACCUGCGGCGAAGGCGGGUUGCUGGGCCGACACUGACGCUGAGGCGCGAAAGCCAGGGGAGCGAACGGG
rnacentral:rRNA from 1 species